rnacentral:rRNA from 1 species
UAGGGAAUCUUCCGCAAUGGACGCAAGUCUGACGGAGCAACGCCGCGUGAGUGAAGAAGGAUUUCGGUUCGUAAAACUCUGUUGCUAGAGAAGAACAGCGCAUAGAGUAACUGUUAUGCGUGUGACGGUAUCUAACCAGAAAGCCACGGCUAACUACGUGCCAGCAGCCGCGGUAAUACGUAGGUCCCGAGCGUUGUCCGGAUUUAUUGGGCGUAAAGCGAGCGCAGGCGGUCAAUUAAGUCUGAUGUGAAAGCCCCCGGCUCAACCGGGGAGGGUCAUUGGAAACUGGUUGACUUGAGUGCAGAAGAGGAGAGUGGAAUUCCAUGUGUAGCGGUGAAAUGCGUAGAUAUAUGGAGGAACACCAGUGGCGAAGGCGACUCUCUGGUCUGUAACUGACGCUGAGGCUCGAAAGCGUGGGUAGCAAACAGG